ensembl:lncRNA
GCUAUUUAUACGUUACUUGCAAAAUAUUUGAUUUCAACAGAACAUUCAGGAAAUACAUAGAGAAUGCAGAUUUUUUUAUUUAUGUUUCUCAGCACUUUAUUCAUUUUUCUGUACUAUUUAUACAAAAGUGGUCUUGGACUUUAUACUGACACUUACUAAUUAAUAUGGAAGCUUGUUUCCACCAUGGAAUAAAAAAUAAAAAAGGUAAUUGCAGAAAUUCUUCUCUACACAAUUCUGAGUUCAUAUCUCACAAUUCAGACUUUGUUUCUUGCAAGAUAUAAACACAGAAUUCUAACAUUUAUUGUCGCAAUUCUGACUUUUUUCUAUGAGUUCUAAGUUUGCAUCUUACAAUUGCUUUUUUUUUUGCCGCCAAUAAAAAAUUAAUAAAAAAGGUAACUGUGACGAAUACUCUGAUUUUUUCUCAGAAUUGUGAUUUGUGAUAUAAGACACAAUUACCCUUUUUUAUUACAGUUGUAUGUUUUGCAGGCAUAUUUGUCAGCAUUUAAGUAAUUUUCCUGGACCAAAUAGGAUCUUCCAAAAAGGAAAAUCACAUGGGCAGAUCUAUGGAGGCUUGAACCUUACCUCAUUUUUUUCCUGCUGCGGUCAGUGUAUGACACAAUACCCAACAAAUUUACACAAGUGGGGUCUGAAGGAGGGCCAACUAUGCAAGCUUUGUGGAGAGUAGGGUACCAUGGCACACAUAUUGUCAGGGUGUAGAACAGCACUUACCCAAGGAACAUACAGAUGGCGCCAUGACAAGGUGCUCAGAACACUAGCUAAUACCCUGGAGCAGGAAAGAUCCAAGAAACGGCAAACAUGCCAGAAACCAACAUCAACGAUUAAGUUUUUUUAGAGAAGGUAAAGAGCGACCAACUACAGCAACAACAAACAACAAAAGGCCCAGGCAUGGGAGAUGAGAGUAGAGGUGAAUGUAAGACGGUCAUAUCUUAAGGGCCAUCCAAAGCAAAAACAAAGACAGUGGUGUCAUGUACCCUUGCGUGGUAUACAAAAUACACUUCCAGUCUCUCCAGCAGACCACCUGACAGAUUUAAAGUGUGAGAACAGAAAGAUGGCCUUACAGAAAGUUUUUCAGGAUUACCAUGGUAUCAGAGAUGGUAUUAAUACCAUUGCACUGAUAUUUCUACCACAUUGCUCAGUGAUUACCUUAUUCAUAUACUAUUUUAUAUAACACUCCAAAGUACUUAAAAUACUGUGGUUUUGCCAUGGUAUACAUCCAAAAAAUAAAAUAAAAAUAAAUAAAUAAAAUUUCCA